rnacentral:rRNA from 1 species
GGCGCGCGAUACAGGGUGACAGCCCCGUACACAAAAAUGCACAUAUUGUGAGCUCGAUGAGUAGGGCGGGACACGUGGUAUCCUGUCUGAAUAUGGGGGGACCAUCCUCCAAGGCUAAAUACUCCUGACUGACCGAUAGUGAACCAGUACCGUGAGGGAAAGGCGAAAAGAACCCCGGCGAGGGGAGUGAAAAAGAACCUGAAACCGUGUACGUACAAGCAGUGGGAGCCUCUUUAUGGGGUGACUGCGUACCUUUUGUAUAAUGGGUCAGCGACUUAUAUUCUGUAGCAAGGUUAACCGAAUAGGGGAGCCGAAGGGAAACCGAGUCUUAACUGGGCGUUAAGUUGCAGGGUAUAGACCCGAAACCCGGUGAUCUAGCCAUGGGCAGGUUGAAGGUUGGGUAACACUAACUGGAGGACCGAACCGACUAAUGUUGAAAAAUUAGCGGAUGACUUGUGGCUGGGGGUGAAAGGCCAAUCAAACCGGGAGAUAGCUGGUUCUCCCCGAAAGCUAUUUAGGUAGCGCCUCGUGAAUUCAUCUCCGGGGGUAGAGCACUGUUUCGGCAAGGGGGUCAUCCCGACUUACCAACCCGAUGCAAACUGCGAAUACCGGAGAAUGUUAUCACGGGAGACACACGGCGGGUGCUAACGUCCGUCGUGAAGAGGGAAACAACCCAGACCGCCAGCUAAGGUCCCAAAGUCAUGGUUAAGUGGGAAACGAUGUGGGAAGGCCCAGACAGCCAGGAUGUUGGCUUAGAAGCAGCCAUCAUUUAAAGAAAGCGUAAUAGCUCACUGGUCGAGUCGGCCUGCGCGGAAGAUGUAACGGGGCUAAACCAUGCACCGAAGCUGCGGCAGCGACACUAUGUGUUGUUGGGUAGGGGAGCGUUCUGUAAGCCUGUGAAGGUGGCCUGUGAGGGUUGCUGGAGGUAUCAGAAGUGCGAAUGCUGACAUAAGUAACGAUAAAGCGGGUGAAAAGCCCGCUCGCCGGAAGACCAAGGGUUCCUGUCCAACGUUAAUCGGGGCAGGGUGAGUCGACCCCUAAGGCGAGGCCGAAAGGCGUAGUCGAUGGGAAACAGGUUAAUAUUCCUGUACUUGGUGUUACUGCGAAGGGGGGACGGAGAAGGCUAUGUUGGCCGGGCGACGGUUGUCCCGGUUUAAGCGUGUAGGCUGGUUUUCCAGGCAAAUCCGGAAAACCAAGGCUGAGGCGUGAUGACGAGGCACUACGGUGCUGAAGCGACAAAUGCCCUGCUUCCAGGAAAAGCCUCUAAGCAUCAGGUAACAUCAAAUCGUACCCCAAACCGACACAGGUGGUCAGGUAGAGAAUACCAAGGCGCUUGAGAGAACUCGGGUGAAGGAACUAGGCAAAAUGGUGCCGUAACUUCGGGAGAAGGCACGCUGAUAUGUAGGUGAAGCGACUUGCUCGUGGAGCUGAAAUCAGUCGAAGAUACCAGCUGGCUGCAACUGUUUAUUAAAAACACAGCACUGUGCAAACACGAAAGUGGACGUAUACGGUGUGACGCCUGCCCGGUGCCGGAAG